rnacentral:rRNA from 1 species
AACGAACGCUGGCGGCAUGCUUAACACAUGCAAGUCGAACGAGACCUUCGGGUCUAGUGGCGCACGGGUGCGUAACGCGUGGGAAUCUGCCCUUUGCUACGGAAUAACUCAGAGAAAUUUGUGCUAAUACCGUAUAAUGUCGUAAGACCAAAGAUUUAUCGGCAAAGGAUGAGCCCGCGUAAGAUUAGCUUGUUGGUGAGGUAAAGGCUCACCAAGGCGACGAUCUUUAGCUGGUCUGAGAGGAUGAUCAGCCACACUGGGACUGAGACACGGCCCAGACUCCUACAGGAGGCAGCAGUGGGGAAUAUUGGACAAUGGGCGAAAGCCUGAUCCAGCAAUGCCGCGUGAGUGAUGAAGGCCUUAGGGUUGUAAAGCUCUUUUACCAGGGAUGAUAAUGACAGUACCUGGAGAAUAAGCUCCGGCUAACUCCGUGCCAGCAGCCGCGGUAAU